rnacentral:rRNA from 1 species
UACGUAGGGGGCGAGCGUUGUCCGGAAUUAUUGGGCGUAAAGAGCGUGUAGGCGGUUCGGUAAGUCUGCCGUGAAAACCUGGGGCUCAACCCCGGGCGUGCGGUGGAUACUGCCGGGCUAGAGGGUGGUAGAGGCGAGUGGAAUUCCCGGUGUAGCGGUGAAAUGCGCAGAUAUCGGGAGGAACACCGGUGGCGAAGGCGGGACUCUGGGCCGAUACUGACGCUGAGGAGCGAAAGCGUGGGGAGCAAACAGG